AUGCACAUACGACCGCGUCUGAAUCGAUGCUUCCUGAGGAAAAACAAACUGAACCAGACAUCUCGGGCUCCCUUCCCAGUCCCCAUGGGAUCCUCCUCGCCUUCCCCUUCGCCGGAGCCGCCGCAGUCGUCCGCUCCUGCCGGUGGAGCCUCCAAUGCCAGCCUGCGGUGGCACAUCCUCCGCCGCGCCCUGCUCUCUCGCUCCGCCUCUCCCCACGCAUCAGAGGGAACUUCUAAUGAGCCGCAGGAGAAAGGUGAUACCAACAAAAUUUCGAGGAAGACAUCGCGUGGUUUUAAUCUGAUCGAGUGUCACACAGUGCCAAUUUCACAGUUAAAUAAAUCACAAGGAGGUUCAUUAAACGGAAAUGAAAAUGGUGUGGAAUGCCAAAGAGAUGUCUAUGUUUGUUAUAAGCUGCCCUGUGGAGGUUCACCGGAACUUAAUGUAAUAUACAGAAGAGAUGAUUCCCUGGAACUAAAUGACAUUGAAGCUUCCAACAGAUUCAAUAUUGACACUACUGGACUUGUAUGUUGUUGGCCGUCUGAAGAGGUCCUUGCCUUCUACUGUAUCAACCGUUCAGAUAUGUUCAGGUCUAAAAGGGUGCUUGAACUUGGAGCUGGUUAUGGAUUGGCGGGACUUGUUAUUGCAGCCAGUGCAAAUGCUGGCGAGGUUGUUAUUUCUGAUGGAAACCCACAAGUAGUUGGAUAUAUCCAGCAGAACAUAUCCAUCAAUGCAGAAACUUUUGGUCAAACGAAAGUUAAACCUAUGACACUGCACUGGGAUCAAGAGCAAGCUUCAGACAUGUUGAACUCUUUUGACAUCAUUGUUGCAAGUGACUGUACAUUUUUCAAGCAAUUCCAUCAAAGCCUUGCCCGGACAGUCAAAUCUUUGUUGAAGCAUUCAGAGACCUCGCAGGCUAUCUUUCUGAGCCCGAAGAGAGGUGAUUCACUCAACAAGUUCCUAGACAUAAUCAAAGAAUAUGAUUUAUGUUAUGAGUUGAUAGAGAACUAUGAUCCCACUGUCUGGAAUCUGCACAGAAGUUAUGUGGCGGGAGAUGACACAUCGUGGCCCAACUAUAAUGAGGAGCAUUGCUAUCCUUUGUUGGUCAGAAUUACCUUUGGACAUUUUGUUUGA
rnacentral:rRNA from 1 species